ACGCUCGACACCUACGGGNGGCAGCAGUGAGGAAUAUUGGUCAAUGGGCGCUAGCCUGAACCAGCCAAGUAGCGUGAAGGAUGAAGGCUCUAUGGGUCGUAAACUUCUUUUAUAUAAGAAUAAAGUGCAGUAUGUAUACUGUUUUGUAUGUAUUAUAUGAAUAAGGAUCGGCUAACUCCGUGCCUGCAGCCGCGGUAAUCUGAGCGGGCUGGCAAGGC
rnacentral:rRNA from 1 species